UACGAAGGGGGCUAGCGUUGUUCGGAAUCACUGGGCGUAAAGGGCGCGUAGGCGGCUUUGUAAGUCGGGGGUGAAAGCCUGUGGCUCAACCACAGAAUUGCCUUCGAUACUGCAUGGCUUGAGACCGGAAGAGGUUAGUGGAACUGCGAGUGUAGAGGUGAAAUUCGUAGAUAUUCGCAAGAACACCAGUGGCGAAGGCGGCUGACUGGUCCGGUUCUGGACGCU
rnacentral:rRNA from 1 species